rnacentral:rRNA from 1 species
UACGAAGGGGGCUAGCGUUGCUCGGAUUGACUGGGCGUAAAGGGCGCGUAGGCGGUUCGUACAGUCAGACGUGAAAUUCCUGGGCUCAACCUGGGGCUGCGUUUGAUACGUGCGGGCUUGAGUGCGGAAGAGGGUCGUGGAAUUCCCAGUGUAGAGGUGAAAUUCGAUAGAUAUCAGGAGGAACACCGGUGGCGAAGGCGGCCCUCUGGACGGAUACUGACGCUGAGGCGCGAAAGCGUGGGGAUCAAACAGG